GGGGAAUCUUCCGCAAUGGGCGCAAGCCUGACGGAGCAACGCCGCGUGAGGGAGGAAGGCCUGUGGGUCGUAAACCUCUUUUCUCAAGGAAGAAGUACUGACGGUACUUGAGGAAUCAGCAUCGGCUAACUCCGUACCAGCAGCCGCGGUAAGACGGAGGAUGCAAGCGUUAUCCGGAAUUAUUGGGCGUAAAGCGUCCGUAGGUGGUUAUUCAAGUCAGUUGUUAAAGCCCACAGCUCAACUGUGGAUCGGCAAUUGAAACUGAAUGACUUGAGUGUGGUAGGGGUAGAGGGAAUUCCUAGUGUAGCGGUGAAAUGCGUAGAUAUUAGGAAGAACACCAGUGGCGAAGGCGCUCUACUGGGCCAUAACUGACACUGAUGGACGAAAGCUAGGGGAGCGAAAGGGAUUAGAUACAAUCGAAUUC
rnacentral:rRNA from 1 species